rnacentral:rRNA from 1 species
GAUGAACGCUGGCGGCGUGCCUAAUACAUGCAAGUCGAGCGAACAGACGAGGAGCUUGCUCCUCUGACGUUAGCGGCGGACGGGUGAGUAACACGUGGAUACCCUACCUAUAAGACUGGGAUAACUUCGGGAAACCGGAGCUAAUACCGGAUAAUAUAUUGAACCGCAUGGUUCAAUAGUGAAAGACGGCUUUGCUGUCACUUAUAGAUGGAUCCGCGCCGCAUUAGCUAGUUGUUAAGGUAACGGCUUACCAAGGCUACGAUGCGUAGCCGACCUGAGAGGGGGAUCGGCCACACUGGAACUGAGACACGGACCAGACGCCUACGGGAGGCAGCAGUAGGGAAUCGUCCGCAAUGGGCGGAAGCCUGACGGAGCAACGCCGCGUGAGAUAUGAAGGUCUUCGGAUCGUAAAACUCUGUUAUGAGGGAAGAACAAAUGUGUAAGGAACUAUGCACGUCUUGACGGUACCUAGUCAGAAAGCCACGGCUAACUACGUG